rnacentral:rRNA from 1 species
AUUCCAGCUCCAAGAGCGUAUAUUAAAGUUGUUGCAGUUAAAAAGCUCGUAGUUGAACCUUGGGAAGGCCGCGCCGGUCCGCCUUUUGGCGAGCACUGGAGGCAGCCUUCCUUUCCUCUGCCAUCCCUUCGGGGCGGGCAGACUAUUACUUUGAGUAAAUGAGAGUGUUCAAAGCAGGCGUACGCUUGAAUCUGUUAGCAUGGAAUAAUAGAAUAGGACGCAUGGUUCUAUUUUGUUGGUUUCUAGGACCAUCGUAAUGAUUAAUAGGGACGGUCGGGGGCAUCAGUAUCCAGUUGUCAGAGGUGAAAUUCUUGGAUUUACUGAAGACUAACUACUGCGAAAGCAUUUGCCAAGGACGUUUUCAUCG